rnacentral:rRNA from 1 species
AGAGUUUGAUCCUGGCUCAGGAUGAACGCUAGCGGCAGGCUUAAUACAUGCAAGUCGAGGGGCAGCAGGGGUAGCAAUACCCGCUGGCGACCGGCAAACGGGUGCGGAACACGUACGCAAUCUACCCAAAACUGAUGAAUAGCCCUCCGAAAGGAGGAUUAAUACAUCGUAACAUUAUAGAGUGGCAUCACUUUAUGAUUAUAGCUCCGGCGGUUUUGGAUGAGCGUGCGGCUGAUUAGGUAGUUGGCAGGGUAACGGCCUACCAAGCCUACGAUCAGUAACUGGUGUGAGAGCACGACCAGUCACACGGGCACUGAGACACGGGCCCGACUCCUACGGGAGGCAGCAGUAAGGAAUAUUGGUCAAUGGACGCAAGUCUGAACCAGCCAUGCCGCGUGAAGGAUGAAGGUCCUCUGGAUUGUAAACUUCUUUUAUGGGGGACGAAACCUCUUUUUCUAAAGAGACUGACGGUACCCUAGGAAUAAGCACCGGCUAACUCCGUGCCAGCAGCCGCGGUAAUACGGAGGGUGCAAGCGUUAUCCGGAUUCACUGGGUUUAAAGGGUGCGUAGGAGGGCAGGUAAGUCAGUGGUGAAAUCUCCGAGCUUAACUUGGAAACUGCCGUUGAUACUAUCUGUCUUGAAUACCGUGGAGGUGAGCGGAAUAUGUCAUGUAGCGGUGAAAUGCUUAGAUAUGACAUAGAACACCAAUUGCGAAGGCAGCUCACUACACGCAUAUUGACUCUGAGGCACGAAAGCGUGGGGAUCAAACAGGAUUAGAUACCCUGGUAGUCC